AUACGGAGGAUCCGAGCGUUAUCCGGAUUUAUUGGGUUUAAAGGGAGCGUAGGUGGACUGGUAAGUCAGUUGUGAAAGUUUGCGGCUCAACCGUAAAAUUGCAGUUGAUACUGUCAGUCUUGAGUACAGUAGAGGUGGGCGGAAUUCGUGGUGUAGCGGUGAAAUGCUUAGAUAUCACGAAGAACUCCGAUUGCGAAGGCAGCUCACUGGACUGCAACUGACACUGAUGCUCGAAAGUGUGGGUAUCAAACAGGAUUAGAUACCCUGGUAGUCCACACAGUAAACGAUGAAUACUCGCUGUUUGCGAUAUACAGUAAGCGGCCAAGCGAAAGCAUUAAGUAUUCCACCUGGGGAGUACGCCGGCAACGGUGAAACUCAAAGGAAUUGACGGGGGCCCGCACAAGCGGAGGAACAUGUGGUUUAAUUCGAUGAUACGCGAGGAACCUUACCCGGGCUUAAAUUGCAGUGGAAUGAUGUGGAAACAUGUCAGUGAGCAAUCACCGCUGUGAAGGUGCUGCAUGGUUGUCGUCAGCUCGUGCCGUGAGGUGUCGGCUUAAGUGCCAUAACGAGCGCAACCCUUAUCUUCAGUUACUAACAGGUCAUGCUGAGGACUCUGGAGAGACUGCCGUCGUAAGAUGUGAGGAAGGUGGGGAUGACGUCAAAUCAGCACGGCCCUUACGUCCGGGGCUACACACGUGUUACAAUGGGGGGUACAGAAGGCAGCUAGCGGGUGACCGUAUGCUAAUCCCAAAAGCCUCUCUCAGUUCGGAUCGAAGUCUGCAACCCGACUUCGUGAAGCUGGAUUCGCUAGUAAUCGCGCAUCAGCCACGGCGCGGUGAAUACGUUCCCGGGCCUUGUACACACCGCCCGUCAAGCCAUGGGAGCCGGGGGUACCUGAAGUACGUAACCGCAAGGAUCGUCCUAGGGUAAAACUGGUGACUGGGGCU
rnacentral:rRNA from 1 species